AACAAUUUCCCACCAGAACCCAUUCGUCCCAGCACAACCCAUUCCCUGACUAAACCCGUUCGCAAAAUACACGCACAAAUACAACCAAGCGAUCUCCCAGAUCCAUAGACCUCAACCGAUGUUCAUCAUCGUUCUCACCCGAACCCAAGCCCCAAAAUUCCGUCCAAAUCUAUGGCGAGUGACCAUCAACCCGUAACCCACGCGUCCCACCAUCUCCCCCCUUACUAUUCCUAAAGGUCUCUGCAAGAAGAUUCUUUCUACUCGCUCGAAUUGAGCCUUAUCUUUGAUUGGAGGCUUCUGGAAAGGAUUUGCUGGAUAAGUGUAAGGCGUUGGAUUGAUUUCACUCAAUCCAAGCCCCACAUUCAUCAGGAAUUCGUUUUCAAAAGAAGCUCUAUCCAAAUUUGAAGGGGCGUGGCUAAAAAUUCAGAGAAAAGGUUGAAAGCUUUUCAGUGAGAAAAUGGCUUUUCCAAGUUGAUUUUCUUUGACAAGGUCAUUAAAUUUUAAGAAAAAGAUAGAUACAAUUUUUCUUCUUAUUUUUGAAUCCGGAUUUGAUUUACUGGAAGAUACAAAUUGAAGUUCGAGCUAUGUUUCUACUGUUGUUCUACUGAGUCACUACUGAACAUCGAUAGGAUUCAGAAUAAAAAGGUGUAUUGUCGAGAAUAUUGUUUUUAAACGGAUUUUGAAAUUUCAAGUUCAAUUUCUUUCUCUUUUGCAUCUCUAUUAUAAAGUAUUUUGAGCAGUGAUAUUUUGUCCAGAAUGAUGUUUGGUUCUGUGCAUGAUUCUUUUUGCUAUUGAACUGCUUCUCAGUGGUGUGGUGUAUUUUAAUAUUUUAAGUUAGUAGAAGUUGAUUUUGAGUGGUCGUUUUCUAUUGUUUAACUGUUAUUGUGAUGUUGAGUUUCAUUUGAAUCAAGGUUUCCUCACUUUCAAAUGAAUGCUUUAGUUUCAAUAUGUUCGACAUGAAUCAUUGAAUGGUUUCGUUUUCCCUGACCCCUCGACCAUAUUUUCACGUUCUGCUAGUUGAAAGUAUGAGCUUACCUUUGCACCAUUUUGGGACUAUCAUCGAGUAUAGGCUAAUUGAUAUCAGUUAUUAGGGACUCGAAUCAAUGUAAUCAUUCUGAUCCUUGAUGAAUUGAGUCAGCCAACCUGUUUGCUCUGUCCAGGCAGCCUACUUGCACGGCACUGAAUGUAUGUACUGUUUUGUCUUGACAAGUUCGACAUGAUUCACUGAAGAGUUUCCUUUAUCCCUGCUUCAUGAUCAUCUUGCAUGUUUUGUUGGUUUGAAGCUGAUGAAGUUUAAAUUUGAAUUAGAGGGCUAUUGAUAACUGUAAAUUUCUCACAGACUUUAGCCUUCGGUUCUGUGAAUGGUAUGUCAGUUUUUCUUUUUUAACUAAUGUUUCCUUAGUUUUAAGUUGUUUCUCAAUCAAGUGUUCUGCUAAUAAAAUUUGGAACAACCUCUCCAUUGCUUUUAUUACUUUCUUCUCCAACUGUCAUAUAAAUCUGCACUUGGAGUGCUCUUUUGAAAUGAGCAUUUAUCCUUUUGGACAUGGUAAUGUUUGUAUUGAGGAUUCAGGUGCUGCAAGAGGUUGCUUGUCAAUUGAAGAUGAAGUUAUUUCAAAUUUUGUGAGGUCCUGGUUAGGUUCUUAGUAACUCGAUCACUGGCCAGUCUUUCCUGUUCUUCUGCAUCUUCGAUCUGUCAAUAUCAUUAGCUAUAUAAGAUCAGAGUGUCAAGUAGAAUAUUAAUAGAGAAUCCGAGGGUGUUUGUCUUGUUAAUAUUCAGCGUAUCUAAGAAGAAUUUGGGUCAUGAAGCAGCUUAUUAUGCCAUUCUAACAAGUUUUCUUGAAGUGCUUGUUUUGACGGCUAGCUAUUUCUCAAUUUUAAAUUCUGCCGGUUUUGUUCGAGGUCCAAACUCAUUUACUUGUUAGUUCUAUAGCGAUUAGCUGGUCUACAACAGAGAUGAGCCUUGUUUAUUUGUAUGCAAUUAAAUUUUUUCCAUGCUUGAUAUAUUUCCAUGUAGUAAUUUGAGAUUUCAAGAUCAAUGCUUAUAGUCCAUCCAGUAGCUUAAAAA
rnacentral:lncRNA from 1 species